rnacentral:lncRNA from 1 species
GCCAACCGUCGUCGUUUUGGGUCGGGUAGUUGAGACCCGACCCAUACCUUUCAGUCGGGAUUCUCCGCUAUCGAGAUGGGAACGAGCUGUUCGGCCGGUUUACCCCAUUCUUCCUCCUCCCGUUGGUCUAGCUUGUCGAUCGUUAGGGAGCCCUUCAACUCCUCGCUUUGAGCGGAGAUCUGGAAGCAUCGGCGAGCGAGCUGUUGGUCUCCGCGCAUCUCCCCGACUCCAGUUUUUGGUCGGAAAUCGAAUCAGGAGAUGGUACGUUGAGACAAUCGCCUUGAGGGCGUUUAGUCCGGGUCUUCUGAGUAUGGCGUUGUAGGCCGAAGACACUUGGACGACCGCAAAAGUCAAAUGGACUGUGCUUUGUCGUGGUUCGGUGCCAACCGUCACGGGCAAAGUAACUUCUCCUUCCAUCGUGACAGCGUCCCCAGCGAAGCCUAUCAAGGGCGUAGAGACCCUCUUGAGUCGGUCGGUCGAUAGUCACAUCCGGGAGAAGGUCGAGUAAAACAAAAUAUUCGUUGAACUUCCAUUAUCUACAAAGAUUCUUUUUACAUCAUAGUUCGCUAUUGUUGCCGAGACAACAACAAUAUCGUCAUGGGGAGUUUGGAUGCCCCGAACAUCUUCUUCUGUAAAAGUAAUUACGUCGUCCGGGCGCAGCUUCUUCGUCGGC